rnacentral:tRNA from 1 species
ACCUGGCUAGCUCAGUUGGUAAAGCAUGUGACUCUUGAUCUCUGAGUUGUAAGUUUGAGCCUCAUGUUGGGUA